AUGGUGCAGGACGUCACACGUAAGCUACAGAAAGUGUCUCAUCAGGAUGUUCCAUUAGUAUCAUCUUUAGAGAGUGCAGAUUCACUGGAUGAAGCUUUUGUGCCUAAUGAUUUUGCAGAAGAUGGUUCUCAUCCUGUGUCUCCGGAUCUAUCUCGAGAUGAAGGAGAGUUCGACAAGGCUCUUUUGAAGUUCUAUCUCAAUCAAAAAGUAAAAUGCUUAAAGAGGAAACUAUCAUCUGCUUCUAGGAGGAAUGUGAAACGAUCUACUGAUUUCCCCACUUGUGCCACUUUCACUAGAUAUUCUGGGAAGUUCUUCUCUGGUGUUGUUGCUGGAAUGUGUCCUAGGUAUCAGAAUGUCAUCCAGACAUACGGCAUGGGCUGUCUCUUAAACUUUGUUAGGACCGAGGUUCCCCUUAGGCUAGUGAAGUGGCUUGCUAGUAGGCUUGAUGUCCCUUCAUCUGAAUUCCAGUUCGAAAGGAAAUUUAUCCCAAUGACCAAGUAUGAUAUCCAUGAUAUCCUUGACCUCCCAGUAGAUGGUGAGCCACUUGUGUCUGAUCCUGAGUCUGGACGUGAUUUUAUCCUGUCUCACUUCAAUGUUUCUAGUAUUCCUCCUGUCUCUUUCUUCGCCAGCAAGCUUAAAUCCACCGAAGUCGAGUUGUCUGAUGAAGACAUUUUCAUUUGCUUCAUGAUUGUUGCGUUGUCCUCAUUCCUUUGUCCCAACUCUAGCCUCAGUCCUAGCCCGAAGUACCUGCAUAUUUUCAGGGAUUGUUCUUCUGUGUGCAACUAUGAUCUGUCCGGAUAUGUUUAUGAGUGGUUGUUGAGCAGCAUCAAAAAGUUCAAGAAUUCCACUAAAGUUGCUUCUAAAAGAUCAGUGACGUCUGGUGGUUGUCACUAUGCUUUUGCUGUUUGUUACCUUGACCAACUUAAUUUCGGUCUCCAUUCUGUCCCUGAUGUCAAGCCCCGGAUUCUAGCAUGGAGAGGUAACAAAGUUAAGCAAUUUUCAGAGCUUGACAGAAACAAUAGCCGCUCUUAUGGCAAGAGGCCUCUAAAGCGGUUGUUUGCUCCAGUUAAUCCGCAGAAGUCUAUCGAGAAAUCUUCAGCAAGCAAAGAUGGUGAUGUUCCCCUUUGCAGUGACAUGCUUUUUGAAAUGAAUGUGCAGAAAUCCUUCGGUGCUCGUUUUGGGUUUGAGGCUGCUCAAGUAGUCAUAAACCUUGUUCAAUCUAGGAACAAAGACAAGCCCAAGCUAUUUGUACAAUGGUCACAGUCCCUUGUAAUUGACGUUCUAGAAUGCUUAUCACUCUCUACUCUAAAUGCCAAAUCUGUCCCGACACCUAAAGUUUAUUCAAGUGAGGGUCAUUCUCUCAACAAGUUCUCUUUUGGUUAG
rnacentral:rRNA from 1 species